AGGGUUUGAUUAUGGCUCAGGAUGAACGCUGGCGGCGUGCCUAACACAUGCAAGUCGAACGGAGUUAUGAUGUGAGCGGGAAGUGCUUGCACUAAACAAUCUUUUCAUAACUUAGUGGCGGACGGGUGAGUAACGCGUGGGUAACCUGCCCUGUACUGGGGGACAACAGUUGGAAACGACUGCUAAUACCGCAUAAGCGCACGGGAGCGCAUGCUUCUGUGUGAAAAACUCCGGUGGUACAGGAUGGACCCGCGUCUGAUUAGCUGGUUGGUGAGGUAACGGCCCACCAAGGCAACGAUCAGUAGCCGGCCUGAGAGGGUGAACGGCCACAUUGGGACUGAGACACGGCCCAA
rnacentral:rRNA from 1 species